ensembl:snoRNA SNORD21 Small nucleolar RNA SNORD21
UCUUGAUGAUGAGCCUCUUGAACUGAGCAUUUGUAGUUGGUCCUUCAUUUGCACAGGUGAUGUUAAACAUCGUUUUCAAGACGGGGCUGAGAGAAGC